UGCGUAGGGUCCGAGCGUUGUCCGGAGUGACUGGGCGUAAAGCGCGCGCAGGCGGCCCGCGAGGUGUCCUGUGAAAGCCCCGUGCUCAACGCGGGAGGGUCAGGGCAAACCGGCGGGCCUGAGGCCGGUAGAGGUGGGUGGAACUCCUGGUGGAGUGGUGAAAUGCGUAGAGAUCAGGAAGAACACCCGUGGCGAAGGCGGCCCACUGGGCCGGACCUGACGCUGAGGCGCGAAGGCGUGGGGAGCGAACGGG
rnacentral:rRNA from 1 species